GACGUAGGGCGCAAGCGUUGUCCGGAUUUAUUGGGCGUAAAGAGCUCGUAGGCGGCUUGCCACGUCUGCCGUGAAAACCAGCAGCUUAACUGUUGGCUUGCGGUUGAUACGGGUUGGCUGGAGUUCGGUAGGGGAGACUGGAAUUCCUGGUGUAGCGGUGAAAUGCGCAGAUAUCUACUGGAACGCCGAUGGUGAAGACGCUCGGCUGGGCCUGUCCUGACGCUGAUGCGCGAAAGCGUGGGGAGCAAACGGG
rnacentral:rRNA from 1 species